rnacentral:rRNA from 1 species
AUUGAGAGAAAGUAUAUGAAAGCCACAUCAAAGAGAGUUGUUUCUGAUGGCCUGCGCUUAAGUGCGCGGCUGCUAGGAAUUUAUUUUCUGUGGGUCAACUUUUGUUGCUUUUCAUCUCUUUUCAACUUCUACACACUGUGGAGUUUUUUACUUUACAUUUCUUCUUUGGGAGAGCUUGCUUUCCCAGAGGUGACAAACACAAACAAUUUUUUAUGUUUUUAACAACUAGUCAAACCAAUUUCGUUAUGAAAUACAAAUAUUCAAAACUUUCAACAACGGAUCUCUUGGUUCUCGCAUCGAUGAAGAACGCAGCGAAAUGCGAUACGUAAUGUGAAUUGCAGAAUUCCGUGAAUCAUCGAAUCUUUGAACGCACAUUGCGCCCCUUGGUAUUCCAGGGGGCAUGCCUGUUUGAGCGUCAUUUCCUUCUCAAACAUUCGUGUUUGGUUGUGAGUGAUACUCUUUUCUGGGUUAACUUGAAAUUGCAAGCCUGUUUGGCUGUGUGUGCUGGCUUGGAUAGAGUGAUUUGUCCAGUCUGCUAAUACAAUGUCGUAUUAGGUUUUACCAACUCGACAACCUGUGUUAGUGGGUGUUACAAAGACAAGUAUACUUGCUUCUUGCUGCUGCUCAGUCCGGCGAACAAUACUCUCAAAGUUUGACCUCAAAUCAGGUAGGAUUACCCGC